rnacentral:rRNA from 1 species
AACGAACGCUGGCGGCAGGCCUAACACAUGCAAGUCGAGCGAGAUCUUCGGAUCUAGCGGCGGACGGGUGAGUAACGCGUGGGAAUAUGCCCUUCUCUACGGAAUAGCCCUGGGAAACUGGGAGUAAUACCGUAUACGCCCUUUGGGGGAAAGAUUUAUCGGAGAAGGAUUAGCCCGCGUUGGAUUAGGUAGUUGGUGGGGUAAUGGCCUACCAAGCCUACGAUCCAUAGCUGGUUUGAGAGGAUGAUCAGCCACACUGGGACUGAGACACGGCCCAGACUCCUACGGGAGGCAGCAGUGGGGAAUCUUAGACAAUGGGGGCAACCCUGAUCUAGCCAUGCCGCGUGAGUGAUGAAGGCCUUAGGGUUGUAAAGCUCUUUCAGCUGGGAAGAUAAUGACGUAC